rnacentral:precursor_RNA from 1 species
GAUUCCGCAACCUUGUAUCUCAAGCCUACAACAGUAUACGAACUCUCUUCUUACAAUUUUCAUUUUUUAAAAGGUAAGUUUCAAAGAAG